UUCUGGUUGAUCCCGCCGGAGGUCACUGCUAUUGGGAUUCGACUAAGCCAUGCGAGUUGAGAGGGUUCGGCCCUCGGCUGACGGCUCAGUAACACGUGGAUAAUCUACCCUUAGGUGGAGGAUAAUCUCGGGAAACUGAGGAUAAUACUCCAUAGAUCUAGGAGGCUGGAAUGCACCUAGAUUGAAAACUCUGGUGCCUAUGGAUGAGUCUGCGGACUAUCAGGUAGUAGUCAGGGUAAUGACCUGACUAGCCUACGACGGAUACGGGUUGUGAGAGCAAUAACCCGGAGAUGAUAUCUGAGACACGAUAUCAGGCCCUACGGGGCGCAGCAGGCGCGAAAACUUCACAAUGCGCGAAAGCGCGAUGAGGGAAUCCCAAGUGCUUGCACGUAAGUGUAAGCUGUUUCUAUGUUUAAAACGCAUGGAGAGUAAGAGCUGGGUAAGACGGGUGCCAGCCGCCGCGGUAA
rnacentral:rRNA from 1 species